rnacentral:misc_RNA from 1 species
UGGUUCUGGCAUNGAUGAAGAACGCAGCGAAAUGCGAUAAGUAAUGUGAAUUGCAGAAUUCAGUGAAUCAUCGAAUCUUUGAACGCACAUUGCGCCCUUUGGCAUUCCGAAGGGCAUGCCCGUUCGAGCGUCAUUAAUUCCACUCAAGCCUGGCUUGGUGUUGGGCGCCGGGGUCCUCCCCGCGCCUUCAUUUCGCCGGCCGGCCGUCGUUUUGACUGAGCGUUGUGACACAUGUCGCUGACGACGACGGACGCGCCGUAAAACCCCCCUUGGACGUCCCCGGACAUCCAGUAAAGGUUGACCUCGGAUCGGGUAGGAAUACCCGCUGA